AGGAGCAACAGCCCUAGUGGCGGGGCCAGCUCUGCAGCCCUGGAUUCAGCUCCAGCAGGAACUCCGGAGGUCUCCGUCUGCAGGGCCUGGAGGCUCCAGGGCAGG
rnacentral:pre_miRNA from 1 species